rnacentral:rRNA from 1 species
CCCGAAAGGGUGCUGGAAGCCGGCGGACAUCUAAACUCUUGUUAAUUUUUGUUAUUCUGAAUCAAACUAAGAAAUAAGUUAAAACUUUCAACAACGGAUCUCUUGGUUCUGGCAUCGAUGAAGAACGCAGCGAAAUGCGAUAAGUAAUGUGAAUUGCAGAAUUCAGUGAAUCAUCGAAUCUUUGAACGCACAUUGCGCCCAUUAGUAUUCUAGUGGGCAUGCCUGUUCGAGCGUCAUUUCAACCCUUAAGCCUAGCUUAGUGUUGGGAGACUGCCUAAUACGCAGCUCCUCAAAACCAGUGGCAGAGUUUUUACGUACUCUGAGCGCAGUAAUUCUAUUCUCGCUUUUGAACACGUCUAGACGAUAGCCAAAAACCGCUUGCCUCGGCAGCACUUUUUAAUGGUUGACCUCGGAUCAGGUAGGAAUACCCGCUGAACUUAAGCAUAUCAA